rnacentral:rRNA from 1 species
AUUGAACGCUGGCGGCAGGCCUAACAAAUGCAAGUCGAACGAGUGGCGGACGGGUGAGUAAUGUCUGGGAAACUGCCCGAUGGAGGGGGAUAACUACUGGAAACGGUAGCUAAUACAGCAUACCAUCGGAUGUGCCCAGAUGGGAUUAGAUAGUAGGUGGGGUAACGGCUCACCUAGGCGACGAUCCCUCGCUGGUCUGAGAGGAUGACCAGCCACACUGGAACUGAGACACGGUCCAGACGCCUACGUGAGGCAGCAGUGGGGAAUAUUGCACAAGGGGCGCAAGCCUGAUGCAGCCAUGCCGCGUGUAUGAAGAAGGCCUUCGGGUUGUAAAGUACUUUCAGCGAGGAGGCGUUACUCGCAGAAGAAGCACCGGCUAACUCCGUGCCAGCAGCCGCGGUAAUUC